UCGGAAGGCGUCCCCGCGCGCUGGCUGCAGGUGGCGGCGGGGGCCGGGAGCGGGCCGCCAGGCUGGGUGUGGGACGGGGGCGUUGCUGCGGUUCUCCGAUUGGCUGGGGGUGAGGGGGCGGGAGCAAGGCCCGGGCUGAGAGCCGUAAAAAUCUGGAGAAGAAAUCCGUGGGCAAGAGGCGUGGGUGCUGCACCUCCCCCUGAGGCGAAAGCCUGAGCUGCAGAGCUGAUCCGGCGUCGGCCAUGUUGUCCCCAGGCGCAGGUGUGCUGCGGAAGACCAAGCGCCAGGUUCCCUCAGGUAGCUUUGUCACUCAGAACUCAGACGCCCCAGUCGGGAGCCCCGGGACAACCUGAAUCCCGGGCUCGUGCCUGCCCCUCGAGUGGUCUCACCGACCUCGCACCAGCCGAACCAGACAUGUACUGAGCACCCUGAGGUGGGCACCAAGACAGCUGUGACUAAACAGACACCGUCUCUACCGCUUCCCAGCUUUCACACCAAACGUCCCAGAGGUCCAACUUCUAGAGGCGAAAGUUCCAGGACAGGAGGCAAUGGACGAUCUGGGGCAUUGAGGCUAUUGGGAGUCCUCAGGCCAGAAAGACCCCGCCGCCCUGCCUCCCCUGAGGUCUGAAUGCCCAGGUGUGCUGUGCCGUGCUGUCGUAAG
rnacentral:lncRNA from 1 species